GGAUGUGAGGGCGAUCUGGCUGCAACAUGUCACCCCAUUGAUCGCCAGGGUUGAUUCGGCUGAUCUGGCUGGCUAGGCGGGUGUCCCCUUCCUCCCUCAGUGCUCCACGUGUGUCCCUCCCAAAGCUGCGCGCUCAGUCGAAGAGGACGACCACCCUCGGUAGAGGAAGACCGUUCCUCGGUCAAGGGUACACGAGUAGCUGCGCUCCCCUGCUAGAACCUCCAAACAAGCUCUCAAGGUCCACCAAGGAAGGAACAGUUGUUACACAGUGCUGCUUGCAGUGCAGUCCUAGUA
rnacentral:snRNA from 1 species